CUCAAUACCAUAUAUGGGAGUUCCUGUUUUCCUUCCCUCCCAAAAUGGAGUCCUUUUCCCAUAUAGUCUGUAGAAGUCGACCUUCUCAUAAUGGCCACGCUAUCCGGAUGCUUAUUGCCGGUCGCGUGACUUCCGGUAUUCAGGCCGGUACGUCAUUUCCGUUUAACGUAAAGUUUUUACAUUUUCCAUUAUUUUGCCAAGGCCUUUGACACG